GAAAUGCGAUAAGUAAUGUGAAUUGCAGAAUUCAGUGAAUCAUCGAAUCUUUGAACGCACCUUGCGCUCCUUGGUAUUCCUUGGAGCAUGCCUGUUUGAGUAUCAUGAAAUCUUCAAAGUAAAUCUUUUGUUAACUCAAUUGGUUUCUACUUUGGUAUUGGAGGUCUUUGCAGCUUCACACCUGCUCCUCUUUGUUCAUUAGCUGGAUCUCAGUGUUAUGUUGGUUCCACUCGGCGUGAUAAGUUAUCUAUCGCUGAGGACACUGUAAAAGGUGGCCAAGGUAAAUGCAGAUGAACCGCUUCUAAUAGUCCAUUGACUUGGACAAUACUUUUAUGAUCUGAUCUCAAAUCAGGUAGGACUACCCGCUGAACUUAAGC
rnacentral:misc_RNA from 1 species